CCUCAUUUCUAACAGACUCCAGGAAGAAUACACCAUCAUAGGUUUGGGAAGGAAGAAAUAUAUUGUGCAGAACUUUUCAUACCUCAGAAAACAGAAGGAACACAUAAACUAGUUCUUGGAGGGGCCUCCAGGGGACGAUGCUGCACAAACUAGAGAUCUUGUUGUCAACAUCAUCUGCUCACGCCCUCCCCCCUGCAGCUGGCUGAGUUCUUUGCAGACAGAGACAGGGACAAGAAUCAUCUGUCAGAAAGCUCCAGGUUCAUCUCAGCAGCUUUUGCAUUUUUAUCUCAGCAAGGAACCUGUCCAAAUUUACUUUCUCCACCCUUCUUAUGUCCGAGGGCUUGGUUUCCUCAGCCAGUUUCCUGUCUGCUCAGGGGAGAUUUUCCUGAGAAGAGCCCACUGCCUUUCUACUGCUCGGCCAUGUUCCUGUUGCUCAUCUUAACACUGGGGAUAUUUGCUCCGCGAGACACCGGAGCGCAGUCAGUGACGCAGCCUGAUGUCCAUGUCACUGUCUCUGAAGGAGCCCCUCUGGAGCUGAGGUGCAACUAUUCCUCAAGUGGAAUUCCUUAUCUCUUCUGGUACAUGCAGCACCCCAACCAAGGACUCCAGUUUCUACUGAAGUACUUCUCAGGGGACACUCUGGUUAAAGGCAUCAAAGGUUUUGAGGCUGAAUUUAAGAACCAUGAAACCACCUUCCACCUGAGGAAAUCCCGAGCCCUUGGCAGCGAUGCGGCCAAGUACUUCUGUGCUGUGUGUGACACAGUGUCUGGGACUGCAGGGGGAGCUGAACACAAACCACCAUGGUAGGGGAGU